AGACAAAAAGAUUUUAAACUUUGUUUCAGGUUGUUGCAGCACCGUAUAAUGAUCAUCUUUGCCUGGCUGUAGCACAGGAACUAGAGAAAGCUCAUGGAGGCUGGGUCCUUCCUGCCUAAUUUACUUCCAAUUCUAUUUUACAUUAAUCAAUGGUGUGAUGAACAACCCCGCUCUUUUACGAGAAUUGAUAUAUCUUUUCGUCGAUUAUAUCCACAUUAUGCUGUGAACGAGAUGUUAUUGUUGAUUCAACGCAACUGUCGAUUCUGCUGAAUGCAUCUGAUAAUAGCAGUCAAAAUAGCAAUAAUGAGAUGUACAUUUUUGCUCAGGUGUAUGUUAAUGUUAUUACUUCUUCUACUUACUGAUUACUUCCUCGUUAUUAUUUACUGUCUCUAUCGAUAGUUUAAUUGUAAGAUGACAUGUAUAGUACGAUAAUUGGAUUACUGAAUACUGAAAUUCUUUAUUUAUCACAA